rnacentral:rRNA from 1 species
UACAGGGGGGGCAAGCGUUGUUCGGAAUUACUGGGCGUAAAGGGCUCGUAGGCGGCCAACUAAGUCACACGUGAAAUCCCCAGGCUUAACCUGGGAACUGCGUGUGAUACUGGAUGGCUUGAAUUCGGGAGAGGGAUGCAGAAUUCCGAGGUGUAGCGGUGAAAUGCGUAGAUAUCUGGAGGAACACCGGUGGCGAAGGCGGCAUCCUGGACCAACACUGACACUGAGGAGCGAAAGCCAGGGGAGCAAACGGG